rnacentral:rRNA from 1 species
UCCUCCCUCUGGCGGCGUGCUUAACACAUGCAAGUCGAACGGACAGGCCCUGCUUUUGUGGGGUGCUCGAGUGGCGAACGGGUGAGUAACACGUGAGUAACCUGCCCUUGACUUUGGGAUAACUUCAGGAAACUGGGGCUAAUACCGGAUAGGAGCUCCUGCUGCAUGGUGGGGGUUGGAAAGUUUCGGCGGUUGGGGAUGGACUCGCGGCUUAUCAGCUUGUUGGUGGGGUAGUGGCUUACCAAGGCUUUGACGGGUAGCCGGCCUGAGAGGGUGACCGGCCACAUUGGGACUGAGAUACGGCCCAGACUCCUACGGGAGGCAGCAGUGGAGAAUAUUGCACAAUGGGCGGAAGCCUGAUGCAGCGACGCCGCGUGCGGAAUGACGGCCUUCGGGUUGUAAACCGCUUUCGCCUGUGACGAAGCGUGAUUGACGGUAAUGGGUAAAAAAGCACCGGCUAACUACGUG